UACGUAGGGUGCGAGCGUUAAUCGGAAUUACUGGGCGUAAAGCGUGCGCAGGCGGUUUUGUAAGCCAGAUGUGAAAUCCCCCGGGCUUAACCUGGGAAUGGCAUUUGGGACUGCAAGGCUGGAGUUUGGCAGAGGAGACUGGAAUUCCACGUGUAGCAGUGAAAUGCGUAGAGAUCCGGAAGAACACCGGUGGCGAAGGCGGCUCGCUGGGCAGUGGCUGACGCUGAGGCGCGACAGCGUGGGGAG
rnacentral:rRNA from 1 species